rnacentral:lncRNA from 1 species
GAAACAAAUAGAAUUAGUGUUUCCGAAUCAAUAUCUCGAACGAACUCUAAAAAUUCUCCAAAGGAAAUAGAUUCCAAUACCGAAAAACUACAACCCCGUCUAGACCCCCGAUUCCGAAGAAACCAAGUAAAACAACCAAUCAUAGAAGACGAUUUUAAAAUCUGAAGACUGAUAGUAAUGGACAAAGUUCACGUGAGGUUCAGUCUUGGAAACAAACAUAUGUUACAAUACAUCGAAGCUAACACUGAACAAGGAAGACGAUA